CAGCAGGUCAGGGAGUUUAACAAUCAUCUCCCAAACUUCAACAGGACGUAAAUGUAAUCUUUUACGCCAGGGUCCUCUCUUCUAGCUCACUAUCAGACUGAGAGACGUUUUUUAAAUGCAGGACACUGGGCUUAAAACCUGCAAGAGCCUUUUCUUGAGCAGCAGCCACUCUGACUUAUUCUCUGGGAAGCACUCACGGAUCCCUGUUAUCAACUUUAUAACAAAAUCUACCAAGGAACCCUUGUUUGGCACAAGCUAGCCGAUGGUUAGUAGCCAAAUGGCACCCCUGCCAAAGUCAGCAUUCCUGGGACUCCAGUCGCUCUUCAUUCUAAGAAGCAGUCAGACACUGUGGUGACGUCCCACUUUUCAGGGUUGCUGCUUGUGGAACCAGCGUGUACUUUCUUCCAGGAAGGCCCCUAAGACCCUGAGUUUAACAAGGGCUACUCAUGAAGGAGGGAGUGUAACACCAUCCUUUGGAGCACAAGGAACUCAGCGGUGAAUGCAUUAGGAAAGAACAUGACUUCUCUUCCAGCAGCCCUGGGAGGGGCAGAUCCCUAUGAGCCCCUCCCCUUCCCAUAAUCCACUGCAUUGGUAUAGUCUUGUGUGGACCCUGUGCAAGAAACCAAAGCUGUUGUGAGUUCUACAGUGGCACAUUUGAGACAUCCAAGUUGGAAGGAACCCAAUCAGAGAUGGCAUUAUUAUAUUCUGCUAAUGGUAGGGGAAAUGACAGGAGCCUGGCAUGGCUAUCCUC